rnacentral:rRNA from 1 species
AGCGAACGCUGGCGGCAGGCCUAACACAUGCAAGUCGAACGAACCCUUCGGGGUUAGUGGCGGACGGGUGAGUAACACGUGGGAACGUGCCUUUAGGUUCGGAAUAACUCAGGGAAACUUGUGCUAAUACCGAAUGUGCCCUUCGGGGGAAAGAUUUAUCGCCUUUAGGGCGGCCCGCGUCUGAUUAGCUAGUUGGUGAGGUAACGGCUCACCAAGGCGACGAUCAGUACGCUGGUCUGAGAGGAUGACCAGCCACACUGGGACUGAGACACGGCCCAGACUCCUACGGGAGGCAGCAGUGGGGAAUCUUGCGCAAUGGGCGAAAGCCUGACGCAGCCAUGCCGCGUGAAUGAUGAAGGUCUUAGGAUUGUAAAAUUCUUUCACCGGGGACGAUAAUGACGGUACCCGGAGAAGAAGCCCCGGCUAACUUCGUGCCAGCAGCCGCAGUAACAC